rnacentral:lncRNA from 1 species
UAUAAUUCAAAUUAUUUUGACUUCUCUAAUGAGAUAUCUUGAAAAGUUAUACUCAUCGUGCAUACACUGGUAUCUGUUGUUUUCAAUCAGUGGUUACAGCUAUAAUGGAUACGCAAAUUGAAUCGGUUCAUAAUGAAACUGAAUAGACAGAUGUGGCCAUUAAUCUUUAUUCAUUUGCUCUCUUUGAUGUCAACAAACUCACUGAAUACGAACCAACUUGCAUGUUUGAUGCUUUUAUAUAGCAGCACUUGCAAAGUAAAAGCUUGUGGAUAGUGGCUUCUGGCUGAAGCUAAUGGACAUCCUACCGUUCUAGCUUGGCUUUUGCAUAUCAAAAUGGCUUGAUUCAGCAGGAAGUCAAGCACAUGUAGUCAACUAAUCUGAAAACCAUGGAAAAGAUAAUAAUAAUAAAAAAUGCUUGUUAGCUAGCUUAAAACAAGCACAAGCAACAAUUAUCAAUUGGACCAUAUGCCGUGCUUCUUACAAUAAAAUGUGCAUAUAGAUUUUACAAACUUGGGUAGAUGCCAGUGUUUUUAAGCUUCUAGCUUGAAUAAAAGGGGUUUAACAAAGAUACAGCACCAGAGCUUUGGGGGAGAAAGACAUUUAUAGAUGCCAUUUUUUGAGUGAUUAAGACAGGAGAUCUUAGUGAUGGUUGACUGCAAUGUGUAUUUUGUCAUCUACAGGGUCUUGAUGUUAAAGCGACAAAACAAGCAUAAAUGGGCUUUGAGUUCUGACUUGGGAAGAAAUAAUGCAUGGAGGAAUUUUGCCUGUGUUGGUUAGAUGAAAAAUUGAAAACUCCUAUGCCGAUUCUGAACUUACUUUUAACACAUAACUGAAGCCAUUCACUAGCAUUACUUGAUUUCCUCUCAUUCACCAGAGAUUUCAAGCCACUUGAGUAGCAGAAUACUCAAGUCAAGAGUUCAUAUCUCAGCAGUAAAAUUCAAUAGAUGAAAAAGCUUGUCUAUGCUUGGAUCCAAUGUGUAUAUACAUGAAGGCAGAGAUCCAUUGCAAUGCAGUCUCACGUUAGCAAUAAUUUAACAUCAUACAGACUAGAAAAGCAAUUAUCUAGGUGAACUUAAAUGAUAGCUAGAACAGCAUCUUGGAGCUGAAUCUCUUCGAACCAUGCAGAAUUGCCCUGACCAUUGAAAAUUUCCUCAACCACUUUGCAAAUCAAAACAAGGUAAGGACACAACAGAAAAUCUUGGGUGUUGAGGACCUCGAGUUCACCCCAUUUCAAGCUUGCAGCACUCAGCACUCUCUUUGGCAAAUAAUAAACAGAUCACUGAGUCUAAAUAAAUAUCCUCCCAAAUAUGUUUCUGGCCAGACCCAAUUCAGAUAUGAGGACCUUCUUCAUCCUUGAAUAAGAAACUUACAUCAUGUGCCAGUCAUUCAUCAUUGAUCAAUUCAUGAAUAUCUAAUAGUUGAUGGUAUCAUUUGUAAUUUUCCCCAAGAAGAUCUGUAGUUUUACAGCUUCACAUGAUCCCGAGGCUUAGUCCUUUUUUCUUUUUUUGGGGGNNNNN